rnacentral:rRNA from 1 species
GAUGAACGCUGGCGGCGUGCCUAAUACAUGCAAGUCGAGCGAACAGACGAGGAGCUUGCUCCUCUGACGUUAUCGGCGGACGGGUGAGUAACACGUGGAUAACCUACCUAUAAGACUGGGAUAACUUCGGGAAACCGUAGCUAAUACCGGAUAAUAUAUUGAACCGCAUGGUUCAAUAGUGAAAGACGGUUUUGCUGUCACUUAUAGAUGGAUCCGCGCCGCAUUAGCUAGUUGGUAAGGUAACGGCUUACCAAGGCAACGAUGCGUAGCCGACCUGAGAGGGUGAUCGGCCACACUGGAACUGAGACACGGUCCAGACUCCUACGGGAGGCAGCAGUAGGGAAUCUUCCGCAAUGGGCGAAAGCCUGACGGAGCAACGCCGCGUGAGUGAUGAAGGUCUUCGGAUCGUAAAACUCUGUUAUUAGGGAAGAACAAAUGUGUAAGUAACUAUGCACGUAUUGACGGUACCUAAUCAGAAAGCCACGGCUAACUACGUG